GCACUGGAGGACCGAACCCGUGUAUGUUGAAAAAUGCUGGGAUGAGGUGUGGGUAGAGGUGAAAUUCCAAACGAACUUGGAGAUAGCUGGUUCUCUCCGAAAUAGCUUUAGGGCUAGCCUCGGAGUUGAGAAUCGUGGAGGUAGAGCACUGUUUGGACUAGGGGCCCGUCUUGGGUUACUGAAUUCAGAUAAACUCCGAAUGCCACAGAUUUAUAUCCGGGAGUCAGACUGCGAGUGAUAAGAUCCGUAGUCGAA
rnacentral:rRNA from 1 species